CUUUAAUGGAGAGUUUGAUCCUGGCUCAGGACGAACGCUGGCGGCGUGCCUAAUACAUGCAAGUCGAGCGGAUCUUGCCUUCGGGUAAAGUUAGCGGCGGACGGGUGAGUAACACGUGGGUAACCUGCCCAUAAGACUGGGAUAACAUUCGGAAACGAAUGCUAAUACC
rnacentral:rRNA from 1 species